UACGGGGGGGGCAAGCGUUGUUCGGAAUUACUGGGCGUAAAGGGCUCGUAGGCGGCCAACUAAGUCAGACGUGAAAUCCCUCGGCUUAACCGGGGAACUGCGUCUGAUACUGGAUGGCUAGAGGUUGGGAGAGGGAUGCGGAAUUCCAGGUGUAGCGGUGAAAUGCGUAGAUAUCUGGAGGAACACCGGUGGCGAAGGCGACGUCCUGGACCGGCAUUGACGCUGAGGCGCGAAAGCCAGGGGAGCAAACGGG
rnacentral:rRNA from 1 species